rnacentral:rRNA from 1 species
UGGCGACCGGCGCACGGGUGAGUAACGCGUAUCCAACCUGCCCUUUACUAUGGGACAGCCCGUCGAAAGGCGGAUUAAUACCGUAUGUUGUCAUGUUGAUGCAUAUUUUCAUGACCAAAGGCUUCGGCCGGUAAAGGAUGGGGAUGCGUCUGAUUAGCUUGCCGGCGGGGUAACGGCCCACCGGGGCGACGAUCAGUAGGGGUUCUGAGAGGAAGGUCCCCCACAUUGGAACUGAGACACGGUCCAAACUCCUACGGGAGGCAGCA